rnacentral:rRNA from 1 species
UGGUUGGGUUAACGUCCCAUAACGAGCGCAACCCCUACCUUUAGUUGCCAUCAGGUAAUGCGUGGGGACUACGUAAAGGAACUGCCUACGCAAGUAGUGAGGAAGGCGGGGGUGACGUCAAAUCAGCACGGCCCUUACGUCCAGGGCUACACACGUGCUACAAUGGCCGAUACAGAGGGCAGCUACCUGGUGACAGGAUGCAAAUCUCCAAAGUCGGUCUCAGUUCGGAUCGGAGUCUGCAACCCGACUCCGUGAAGUUGGAUUCGCUAGUAAUCGCGCAUCAGCCAUGGCGCGGUGAAUACGUUCCCGGGCCUU